AUUUUGUAUUGCCAGUUAGUGUGUUUGAUUAAAUUGGCGAGUGGGGAAAAUCUGCCACCCCUGUAUUUAAAUUCUGGUCAACUUUAUCCGUUUCUUUUGGAGGUCAAAAUUUAUUUAAUUAUGAUAUAAUAAAACAAUAUACCGAUACAAAGUACAAAGAUAAAUAGAAAAAUAACAAACAGAAAUAUUGUUUUUCCUCUUUCUUUUUUUAUUGCUAAACUUUGUCAAGGGCAUGGCUAGAGGGGUUCCUGAGGUGCCCCUGACCCCCCACCCCCCUUUAACCAUACCUCAUCUUACUAAAAUCAUUUUCACUGAUGAGCAGUGUGACUAAAAUAGAGUAGUUUAUAUUAGAACUCAAACUGUAACUUGAUCUCAGUAUUUUUAUUUCACAAGACAUGUCUUUCCUUACCUAAACAUUUAUUUGUGCUCUUAUCAUUAUUGAUGGAUUCCACAUUAUAUUAUAAUCAUUCUAUUACCAUUUUACAUUUUAAUGGGUUCAUUGAUCUGUAAUGCCAGGGAUGGAAACUUAAUUUUGACAGCACUGGCCAUUGGGUGAGUGCCUUUAAUAAAUGCAACAAAAAGCCUAGGAUUUUUACUUGCCCAAGUAGUUUGACACUCGCCUGGGAAAGUGGGCAAGUGCUAAUUUCCAAACCUGUAAUGCCUUUUUUUAUUGAUUCAUUAAGAUAUUGUUAUGUCUGCAUUUGUUUAUCUAGACGAAAUCUGACAUUCCACUUCUUCUGAACAAGAAUCACAUAAAGGCUGUGCGCAAGAUGAUUUUUCAUGUUGUAAAAAAGGCAAUGGGCAUCGGCCCCUUGCCAGAUGGAGCUCCUCGGGGAUAUCAGGUUAACCUUUCUGCUGCAGUGGCUUGGGCAGCAAGGGAAACAAGACUGCAUCAGCCUGACCAGCAAACCCUUGAGCUUAAUCUUAAGCUAGAUGGGAGACCAUUUUUGGUAGGCAGCAAGUCAUCCUAUCAAUGUCAGUCAUGCAUCAAGUGAGAGCUGUAAAAGUGUCUACCCUAUAGCAAUUGCAAAUUGUGAGGAAAACAGGAUCAAUGUUGAAGCCCUAAUGAAGGAAAUCAAUGCCCAAAAAAAUGCCAUCAAGAAAAAUGGAAUAACUAUUGAUGGAAGACACUUUAAAGUCAAAUUUA